rnacentral:rRNA from 1 species
GUAGGGAAUAUUGGGCAAUGGUCGGAAGACUGACCCAGCCAUGCCGCGUGCAGGAAGACGGCCCUCUGGGUUGUAAACUGCUUUUAUCUGGGAAGAAAAAGGCCAUGCGUGGCAAAUUGCCGGUACCAGAUGAAUAAGCACCGGCUAACUCCGUGCCAGCAGCCGCGGUAAUACGGAGGGUGCGAGCGUUGUCCGGAUUUAUUGGGUUUAAAGGGUGCGUAGGCGGCUGAUUAAGGCAGCGGUGAAAGACUUCGGCUUAACCGGAGCAGUGCCGUUGAUACUGGUUGGCUUGGGUGUCGGAGGGGUACAUGGAAUUGAUGGUGUAGCGGUGAAAUGCAUAGAUACCAUCAGGAACACCGAUAGCGAAGGCAUUGUACUGGCCGACAACUGACGCUGAUGCACGAAAGUGUGGGGAUCGAACAGGAUUAGAAACCCUAGUAGUCC